AUUCACUGGAGGCAGCCACAACUAACGAGUGGGUGUUAAUGCUUGAGACUAAACGUCUCGCCUUCAAGCUACUUUGCUGGAGGUUCCCUUGGCCAUCUCCCGCUCUCUAAUGAUCAUCCCCGGGUCUCCCUGCAAUGUAUAAGAGAACUGAGGCUCGGACAGAAAGAAUGACGUUACCGAAAGUGGCUUUGCUUCUGCCUUGCCAGCCCAUUGCGCACUGCCUGCCGUGGUUCCAGCCCUCGCUGCCUCUCUUGACUAGCGUAGACCUGCCAUUGCGCCAGGCUCCCAUCGCUGCCAUGCCCUUGAGUGUCUCAAAUGCAGCAACAGGAGCUGCUGUUUCACACACAAUUCCAGGAAGAGCUCUGCUGGAUUUCCAUUCAAAUUCUGCCUCCACUCCCUCCUAGACACGUGGCCUUCGGCAGGUCAUGUCGCCUGUCUAAGCCCCUCAAAUGUAAAACAAGAAUAUAAAACUUCACAUGAGAGAGAAAGCAAAUGUAGCCAAAGGUUAGCAUUUGGUGAAUUUAGGAGUUCCUUAUGCUGUUCUUGUAGCUCUUCUGCAGAUUUGGGGAAGAGGGAGUUUAUAAGUGAAAGCACUGAGAUAUUCUGUAUUCUAGGCUUUAUGGUCUAAUACCACUGAGUUUAUUUUUUGAAAUAAAUAAUGCUGGACUCCUGAAAAAAAAAAAAGAAUAUCAAACUGCCCUAACCUCAUGGAGUGGUUGUGAGGAUUACGUGAAAGUUGGUUUAUUAAAAGCCUGAUGAUUUUUGUGUCCUGCUGAGUUGUUCUUUCUGUCAUCCGAAUAUUUGGUAAGUGCAUUCUCUAAGUCCUUAUUGAAUGCAUCGAUGUAAUUCUCUGGGGCAGGAGCAUUUCACAGGAACCAAGCUUGGAGCCACUCUGCUGGACACCUCAGCCAGGCUGACGUGGGGCCAGUGGUCAUUCCUGUUCCAAUGCAAUUAUUUAACCAGCUCAAAGUCCAGUGACCUGCUCUAAUGUCCCCUCAGCAUUUCCCCACUUCCUCCAUGAGCCUGGUGGAGCCUAGGAAUGAUCCAGGUGGAUGGUAUCACGGACCCAGCACCUCUAACAUGAGAAACUCUUGCAAAUACUUGCUUAAAAUAGACAUACUUUCCAUUGGCUGCUGCCUGUGACCUUUGAAGCUCUU
rnacentral:lncRNA from 1 species